GAACACCGCUUUGCGAUCACCGAAGUUAAGCAGCCUCGAGCCUGGUCAGUACUUAGAUGGGUGACUGUUUAGGAAUACAAGG